rfam:Manis sp. prion protein (PRNP) gene, partial cds.
UCAUGGUGGCGGCUGGGGGCAACCCCAUGGUGGUGGCACC